GACUACACUUAGAGAAUCAGCCGUUUUUUCAUUGGGAGAACACACAAAAAUAGAGCUCCUUCAUCUUCUUCAUGAAGAUUUAACACCAAAAAAAACCUAGAACCUAGCUCCAUCUCCAUACCAGCUGCACCCUCACCACCAAAACUCCAUCGCCGGACCUCCCACAACAGCCAUAAACGAAGCUUCACCUCACACACGCCCUAAGCUCUUCUUCUUCAUUGACAGACCCAGAUCCGCCAAGGCUAUUUCUUAGCAGUUGCAAAAAUAAAGCUCGCUGAAGCUAGGUCUCGCCCUUUACAUGGUCUCCGUUGUCAGAGGUGAUGGCCAGCGAUGACCAUGACUGUUGCUACACCUAGUCGUUGCUUCUUACCUUCCUCCCCCUCUACUGACCUUGUACCGUCGGAUUCGCACUGUCAACGAUGAACGAACAGAAAACAGUUGAUUGUUUCAUCACCAUUAUUCACGUGUGUUUUACUUUUACGUUGGACUAGUGUAGAUCUAACAAGUUUUGGAUUUUGUGAUGUUCUGUACCGAGUUGGCCGGAAUUAGUUCUUUGGCGAUUCUUUCGCGUGUGUCGUUUUGAUUGUUGCUCCAGUGUCGCCAUUGUUGCGGUAGUAGUGUCAUUUUCAAAUCAAGGUUUCCCGUUCGAGGGUUCCGGGCAGACUCGUGGUUCCGUCAAAUUGUUGUUGUCCAAACUUUCUGGUGUUAUGCAUUUCAGAACCAAUAUUACGUUGUUUUGAGGUUAACUUCUCUCUAAUUUUAAUUUCCUUUCAAUAUUGAUCUUUGAUGACUAUGGACGUUAUGCGUGUGUUCUGUUAUGACAUUGUUUUUCUAAAGUUUCUUAAUUCUAUUUAUUUAUGUUAAAGUUUCAUGGAUGUUUUAUUAGGGAACAAAUAUGAAUCUCUAUUGUCUUACUUUGCUUCUGUUAAUAUCAAGUCAAUAAGACCAAGCGUUGAUUUUUUGAUCCAAGAAAGAUUGAAGUUGGAUUUUUGUUUUGGUUGGUAACGAGAAGGAAUUUGGGCAUAAAAAGGGGGAUUUGUUAUUCUUGUCUCAUUUUAAUUACUCGGGUCGCUAGGAGUAUGUUAGGCCGACCAUACCUGGGUAAGCAAACCUUAGGCACAUAAUUAAAUCAUCACAACUACGGGUACGGUUCCCGUGACAUAGUUGUGAUACUUAAUCCCUAAUUAGUUUUGACUAUGCAUAUCCGUAGUUCACUAAGUUGAAUGCUUUUUCCUUUAAUAAAAUUGAUGUGUGCCAUAUUGAGCGACAUAUAAUUUAUGACCCUCAAAGUUUAGUUUCGAAUUUCCAUUAAAUUGUAUUGAGGUGCCGUGUCAAAAUAAAAUCUUAAAAUGCACGGCCCUCACUUAAUUAAUUUUGUUUAUCCUUAGAAAUCGAGGCGUGCCAUUUAGCGAUAUUUCAUGGCCCUCUCAAAGUGCAAAAGCGUAGUUGCUUUAGGCGCGUAUUUUAAUAAUUACUUUCCUAAAUUUGGGUGCGCAUUUAUGUGACCUAAAUCAAAAUCACAAUGAUGUUAAAAUAUGUCAAGGAUCACGGGUGCAUUUAUGUGACAUGGUUCGAGACGUGUUUUAAUAAUGUUGCAACUUUCUUUUAAAAUUGAAUAAAAGCGGUUAAAAGUUAAAAUUUGCAUAUAGGUUCAUAAUUGUUUAAAAUCAUAUAAUUAAGCUGAAUAUAACCGUUGAGCGACUGUGCUAGAACCACGGAACCCGGGAAUGCCUAACACCUUCUCCCGGGUUAACAGAAUUCCUUACCCGGAUUUCUGUGUUCGCGGAUUGUAAUACAAAAUCAAUCUUUUCCUCGACUCGGGAUUUGAACCGGUGACUUGGGACACCACAAAUUAUCCCAAGUGGUGACUCUGUAUCUUUAAAUAAACAAAUCCCGUUUCGAUUGUCCUUUAAUUGGAAAAACUCCCAUAUGCCCCUUUCCGGGGGUGUAGUGAAAAAAGGAGGUGUGACAAAGAGGCCGUAGAAACUCAACAAUAAUGGGAGCAAAUAUUGUUGAAGAGAACAAAAAGAGGAAGAAGGCUUUUGGAAUGAAAUACAACCCAAGCAAGAAGCGGUUCAGUGGAAAUUGCUACAACUGUGAAAAAGCCGGACACAAAUAUAUGGAGUGUCGUGCUCCAAAGAAAGACAAGAAGAAGGGUCAAGCAAACAUGGUUGAAAAUCAUGAUGAUGUUGAUGACUUGUGUGCCAUGCUUUCCGAGUGCAACUUGGUGGGAAAUCUUAAAGAGUGGUGGAUUGAUUCUGGAGCCACUCGCCAUAUUUGUGCUGUUAGAGAAGAUUUUGCUAAUUAUGCUCCUAUUGGAGCCGAUGAGACGAUUUCUAUGUGAAAUGCUGCAAAGGCUAAGAUUGAAGGAUGUGGGAAGAUCUUUCUGAAGAUGACUUCUGGCAAAGUGGUGACUUUGAACAACAUCCUUCAUGUUCCUGAGAUUAGGAAGAAUUUAUUCUCUGUUGGACUUCUUGUUAAGAAUGGUUUUAAAUGUGUAUUUGUUUUAGAUAAGGUUGUAAUAAGUAAGAACGAGUUGUUUGUAGGAAAAUCUUACCUCAUAGAGGGCCUUUUCAAGCUGAAUGUAAUGGUUGUUGAAAAUAAUAAUAAAAUUUCAGCUUCGUCUUACUUACUUGAGUCAAAUGAAUCAUGGCAUAUAUGUUUGGGUCUGUUAAUUAUAAAACCUUGCGAAAAAUGAUUAAUUUGGAUGCGAUAAAUCAAAAUGUCAAAUAUGUGUGGAAUCUAAGUAUGCUAAACAUCCUUAUAAGUUAGUUGAAAGGAAUUCAGAUCCUUUAGACUUAAUUCACAUAGAUAUUUGCGAUAUGAAGUCAAUACCAUCUCACGGUGGAAAGAAGUAUUUCAUAACUUUUAUUGACGAUAGUACUUGAUAUUGCUAUGUUUACUUACUUAAUAGUAAAGAUAAAGCAAUACACGCAUUCAAGCAAUAAAAAAAUGAAGUUGAAACGCAACUUAACAAGAAAAUCAAAAUGAUAAGAAGUGAUAGGGGUGGUGAAUAUGAAUCUCCUUUUGAACAAAUAUGUUUAGAAUAUGGAAUUAUUCAUCAAAUAAUGGCCCCUUACACGCCCCAAUCCAAUGGAAUUGCAGAAAGAAAGAACCAUUCAUUAAAGGAGAUGAUGAACGCAUUAUUGAUAAGUUCUGGUUUGCCACAGAACUUGUGGAGAGAAGUCGUUCUUACGGCUAGCCGAAUACUAAAUCAAAUACCCCAUAGCAAAACACAAUCCAUUCCAUAUGAAAAAUGGAAAGGAAGGAAGCCCAACUUAAAUUAUUUUAAAGUGUGGGGGUGUUUGGCAACAGUGCAAGUUCCUAAACCCAAAAGGGUAAAAAUAGGACCGAAAACUGUUGAUUGUGUUUUCAUAGGGUAUGCGACUAAUAGUAAAGCAUAUCGAUUUCUGGUUCAUAAAUCAGAAAAUCCUGACAUUCAUAAUAAUACAGUUAUAGAAUCAGGUAAUGUUGAGUUCUUUGAAAAUAUAUAUCCGCAUAAAAAGGAAUGUGAGUCGAUUGGUGAAAGAUCGAAACGACCUCGGGAAGAAACAAAAGAAAGUACACUUAACCAGGAGGAUCCAAGAUGUAGUAAACGUCAAAGAACGUCUACUUCAUUUGGACCAAAUUUUGUGACUUUCUUAUUGGAAAAUAAGCCUCAAACAUUUAAAGAAGCUAUGUCUUAUUCAGAAUCAUUGAUUUGGAAAGAGGCAGUAAAUAGUAAAAUAGAAUCCAUACUGAAUAACCAUACAUGGGAAUUGGUUGAUCUUCCUCCUGGAAAUAAACCGUUGGUUUCUAAAUGGAUCUUUAAGAGGAAAAUGAAAGAUGAUGGCACUAUAGACAACGAGAAGGUCUUGACUAUAUUGAUACAUACUCUCCAGUUACAAGAAUUACGUCCAUAUGAACGUUAGUAGCAUUAGCUGCAAUUUAUGGUCUUGAAAUUCAUCAAAUGGAUGUUAAGACAGCCUUUUUAAAUGGAGAGUUGGAGGAAGAAAUUUACAUGGAACAACCUGAAGGGUUUGUAGUUCCAGGUAAAGAAAAGAAGGUAUGCAGACUUAUUAAGUCCCUUUACGGACUAAAACUUUAACGACUUGACCGGUCGUUUUGAGCUCUAGCAUGUCGUUUAGCAGUUUGAGGCCAUGAGCAGCUUCACUUCAGGUAUUAUGACUUGUACGCAUGGUCGGAAUUGAAUUCCGGGGAAUUCGGAGUGGAUUUGGAAAGAAAAUUCUCAUUUCGGAAGCUUUAAGUUGAAAGAAUUAACUAAGAUUGGAUUUUUGAGUAAACGACCUGGGAAUUGGGAUUCGAAGGUUCCAGCAGGUUCAUAUGAUGAUUUUCGACUUGGGCGUAUGUCCGGACCGAGUUUUAAAAGACCCGGGAACAUUUCGGCACCUAUUGUGGAAGUUAGCAUUUUUGAAGAAUUUCAUAAGUUUGGGAUGGAGUGCAUUUCAGUGUUAUCAAUGUCCGUUUGGGAUUCCGAGUCUGGGAAUAGCUCCAUAUGGUGAUUUUGGUGGUUGGAGCGUGAUCGGAAGUGAAUUCGGAGGUCCAUGGGUCAUUUUGGAGUCAUUUGGCUAAAGAAAGAAAUUUGAAGGUUUUUGAGGAGUUUGACCGAAAGAGGACUUUUUGAUAUCGGGUUCCGAAUUCGAUUAUAGAAGUUAGAGUAGGUUCGUAACAUCAAAUAUGACUUAUGUGCGGAAUUCGAGGUCAAUUGGAUGUGAUUUGAUAGAUCUCGGCAUCGAAUAUUGAAGUUUGAAAUUCUAAAGUUCAUUAAGCUUGGAUUUGAGGUCGAUUCAUGAUUUUAGCAUUGUUUGAUAUGAUUUGAGGCCUCGAGCAAGUCCGUAAUGUGUUUUGGGACUGGUUGGUAUGAUUGGUCGGGGUCCUGGGGCCCUCGGGUGGAUUUCAUGUGGUUAAAGGAUCGAAUUGGAAUUUGGAGGAAGAGUUGAAGUUGCUGGUUGCUGGUGUAACCGCACCUGCGAGACUUGGGCCGCAGGUGCGGAGCUGCAGAAGCGGCCCUUGUGUCGCAAUAGUGAAAAAUGGCUGGGCUUGAGCGAGUUGGCUGAGACUGCACCUACGAUAGAAAUUUCCGCGGGUGCGGCUGGUGCACUACAGGUGCGGAAAGGGCUGGAGGCAGUGUAUUCUUUUAAAAUCGGGAGAUGGCCAUUUUUCUCCCAUUUUUCAUUUGGUGUGGGCGAUUUUGGAGAGCUUCAAGUUGGGAUUUUCAUCAUCAACGACAAGUUAAUCGAACCCCACCUAUCUUGGGUUAAAUAUAUUGAUUAUGUAUGGAUUUUACCAUGUAAAUUGGUAGAAAUUUGGGGGCUGAGUAAAACCUAGAAAAUUUGUAUUCUUGGAUUUUGACUACGAUUUUAGGUAUUAAACUAAGAGAAAAUCAUAUAUUUGAGUUCGUGAGUUCAUGGGUAAACUUUAUCUUCGAAAAAUUUCGGAAUUCGGGCACGUGAGCCCGAGGGCAAUUUUGUCAACUUUUCGAUCGGGGUUAGGAAUUGCUAUAAAUUGGAUUGUAAUGAGUAAUUGAACAUAUGUUAAUGGAUUUUCAUAAUUAUUGUCUAGUUUUGGAGCAUUGUGCAUCGAUUCGAGUCCUCGGAAGGGCGUGGAAUGCAGGUUAUGGAUCUUCGGAGCGAGGUGAGUCUCCUUUUUAACCUUGUAAGAGGGAAUUGUCCCCAUAGGUGAAAUAAUUGGUUAUGUGCUCCUAUUUGUGGAGGCUACGUACGCACGAGGUGACGAUAGUCCGUGUGUAGCUACUAUUAUGUGUAAGUCCGAGUAGUCUAGCACCCAAAAGCAUGCUAUACUUGGAAUAUUUGUAACCUUAUUGACAGAUGAAUUGCUUAAAUCCUAUUAAAUUGGUAAAUGAAUUUCUAAAAGGAUUAAACUUCUUUUUUUUUUUAUAUAAAAUAUUUAAAAGAGAAUUGGAUUUCUUUGGAUAAUUGUUCCUGUUGACUUUUUGAUUGACUUUCUGUAUGUGUUUAAUUUCGGAACGGGCCGAACGCCUCGGUAGAUUAAAUAGAUGCAUCUAUGGUUCGCGCCAUUUGACCCUCUGGCAGUGCAUAGUUUAAAUAUUGUUGGAUCGUGCCGUACGUCCUCGGCAUGAUUUGCGCAUACUUGUAUUGCUUGCCUUGAGAUUUAUCGAUAUUGGUAUUUGCUCUCCCUAGCUUGAGAUAAUUGAAAAUUAACAGAUUAUAAUCCGGAGUUUUUUAAUAUAACAAGGAACUUUUACUUAUUCGUGACUUAUUUGAAAUUACUGCCGGUCUUAAUAACUCCAUGAUUACUCGCAUUUAUAAUAUAUUACUAUUGGAUCACUAGUAAUUGUCGAAGUCAACCUCUCGUCUCUACUUCUUCAAGAUCAGACGGGAUACUCAUUGGGUACACGUUGUUUUCGUACUAAUACUACACUUGUUGUGCAUUUUUGUUGUACAGGUUUAUCUGUGGCUAGUGUCUUAGUGGCAUAGAGGCAUGGUUGAUACAGAGACUUAGGUGAGUUGCAUUUAUUGAGAUGACCAUAGCCAGCAGAGUCUCCUUCAGAGUAUUAUACUGUAUUUUCAUUUCUGUCCACUUGUAUUCCGGACAGUUACUAUAUUUUAUUUCAUUCUCUAGUAAAUGCCCAUGCAUUUGUGACACCGGGUCCCGG
rnacentral:lncRNA from 1 species